rnacentral:rRNA from 1 species
AGAGUUUGAUCCUGGCUCAGAGUGAACGCUGGCGGUAGGCCUAACACAUGCAAGUCGAACGGCAGCACAGAGGAGCUUGCUCCUUGGGUGGCGAGUGGCGGAUGGGUGAGGAAUACAUCGGAAUCUACUCUGUCGUGGGGGAUAACGUAGGGAAACUUACGCUAAUACCGCAUACGACCUACGGGUGAAAGCAGGGGAUCUUCGGACCUUGCGCGAUUGAAUGAGCCGAUGUCGGAUUAGCUAGUUGGCGGGGUAAAGGCCCACCAAGGCGACGAUCCGUCGCUGGUCUGAGAGAAUGAUCAGCCACACUGGAACUGAGACACGGUCCAGACUCCUACGGGAGGCAGCAGUGGGGAAUAUUGGACAAUGGGCGCAAGCCUGAUCCAGCCAUACCGCGUGGGUGAAGAAGGCCUUCGGGUUGUAAAGCCCUUUUGUUGGGAAAGAAAUCCAACUGGUUAAUACCCGGUUGGGAUGACGGUACCCAAAGAAUAAGCACCGGCUAACUUCGUGCCAGCAGCCGCGGUAAUACGAAGGGUGCAAGCGUUACUCGGAAUUACUGGGCGUAAAGCGUGCGUAGGUGGUUAUUUAAGUCCGUUGUGAAAGCCCUGGGCUCAACCUGGGAACUGCAGUGAAUACUGGAUGACUAGAAUGUGGUAGAGGGUAGCGGAAUUCCUGGUGUAGCAGUGAAAUGCGUAGAGAUCAGGAGGAACAUCCAUGGCGAAGGCAGCUACCUGGACCAACAUUGACACUGAGGCACGAAAGCGUGGGGAGCAAACAGGAUUAGAUACCCUGGUAGUCCACGCCCUAAACGAUGCGAACUGGAUGUUGGGUGCAAUUUGGCACGCAGUAUCGAAGCUAACGCGUUAAGUUCGCCGCCUGGGGGAGUACGGUCGCAAGACUGAAACUCAAAGG